UAGCAAGGGCCGGGCAAGACCGGUGCCAGCCGCCGCGGUAACACCGGCGGCUCGAGUGGUAACCGUUAUUAUUGGGUCUAAAGGGUCUGUAGCCGGCCGGAUAAGUCUCUUGGGAAAUCCGGCAGCUUAACUGUCGGGCUUUCAGGAGAUACUGUUCGGCUCGAGGCCGGGAGAGGUGAGAGGUACUUCAGGGGUAGGGGUGAAAUCUUGUAAUCCUUGAAGGACCACCAGUGGCGAAGGCGUCUCACCAGAACGGACCUGACGGCAAGGGACGAAAGCUAGGGGCACGAACCGGAUUAGAUACCCGGGUAGUCCUAGCCGUAAACGAUACUCGCUAGGUGUCGGCCACGGUGCGACCGUGGUCGGUGCCGUAGGGAAGCCGUGAAGCGAGCCACCUGGGAAGUACGGCCGCAAGGCUGAAACUUA
rnacentral:rRNA from 1 species